rnacentral:rRNA from 1 species
AAAUUGAAGAGUUUGAUCAUGGCUCAGAUUGAACGCUGGCGGCAGGCCUAACACAUGCAAGUCGGGCGGUAGCACAAGAGAGCUUGCUCUCUGGGUGACGAGCGGCGGACGGGUGAGUAAUGUCUGGGAAACUGCCUGAUGGAGGGGGAUAACUACUGGAAACGGUAGCUAAUACCGCAUGACGUC